AGCAGCCGCGGUAAUUCCAGCUCCAAUAGCGUAUAUUAAAGUUGUUGCAGUUAAAAAGCUCGUAGUUGAAUUUCGGGGUCAGUAGGUUGGUCGUGCCACCGGUACGUACUGGUUUCACUGAUUCCUCCUUCCUGAAGAACCGUAAUGCCAUUAAUUUGGUGUUGCGGGGAAACAGGACUGUUACUUUGAAAAAAUUAGAGUGUUUAAAGCAGGCUAACGCUUGAAUACAUUAGCAUGGAAUAAUGAAAUAGGACGAUCGAUCCUAUUUUGUUGGUUUCUAGGAUUGACGUAAUGAUUAAUAGGGAUAGUUGGGGGCAUUAGUAUUCAAUUGUCAGAGGUGAAAUUCUUGGAUUUAUUGAAGACUAACUACUGCGAAAGCAUUUGCCAAGGAUGUUUUCAUUAAUCAAGAACGAAAGUUAGGGGAUCGAAGACGAUCAGAUACCGUCGUAGUCUUAACCAUAAACUAUGCCGACUAGGGAUCGGAUGAUGUUAAUUUCAUAAUGACUCAUUCGGCGCCUUA
rnacentral:rRNA from 1 species